AGAGAAGAACCCAGAACUGAUACCUCCGACAAGCUGUUUCGUCCAUCCUCAAAUUUAACAGCUGACACAAUCACAAUGGCUACACCCGUGGACAUCUCUCGCCACCUUCACUGCCCCAUCUGCAAAACCCUGCUAGCGGAUCCGGUCUCAACCACCUGUGGACACACCUUCUGCAAGGGCUGUCUGGACAAGCACAUCAGCGUGUCCGAGCCACAGUGCCCUCUCUGCCAGGAGCCUGUUACCACCAAACCUUCUGUGAACGAAGCGAUCGAAGCCCUCCUGCGAGAGUUUCACCAGACUCAGUUACCCAACCUAGACCUCUUCUGUGGAGAAAGAGACGCGAUUCCGUGUGACGUCUGUGAUGAACACAUCACAUUUAAAGCCGUGAAGUCCUGCCUGAUCUGUCUUCUGUCAUUCUGCGAUGAACACCUGAAGCCUCACCAGUCUAUGGCGAGAUUCAAGUGCCAUAAGCUGGUGAAUCCUGUAGAGAAGUUGGAUCAGAGAGCGUGCAAUACGCACGGCAGACCUCUUUAGCUCUACUGCAGACGUGACGAGUGCUGCAUCUGUGCCUUAUGUGUGAAGACGGGUGGAGAUGUGAUACCUGUGGAGACAGAGAGAGAGAGGAGACAGGCCAUGCAGCAAAACACUAUUGAGGUGAUGGAAAGGAUGAUCAAUCAGAGGGAAGACAAACUUAAGGAGCUUAAGGAAUCAG